rnacentral:lncRNA from 1 species
UGUUUUAGUUGCAAGAAGCACAAGAUCGAUAUAUGGAGGCCGUGAAAUGUACUGAGAAGAUGCAGGAUCAAAUGCAAAAGCUUGAAAAGGAAAAUGCCGAGUUAAAAGGUACAAACAAAAUGCAAGCGGGCACAAUUGAAGAGCUUCAGAAAAACCUGCUGAGUCUAAGUUCGGUAAGUCAGUUUUUUUCUGUCGUACUGAAAAGGAAUUUUAAUUGUGUUACCAAUAUUAUAUGAGAAUAUUUUAGAAAAGAGGAAAAGUCUCAUUGAUAAAAAGCAGUUACGGCAUUUAUAGUGAUACUCUUUGCUACGAAUAGCAUACUUCCUCUUUAUAGAAGACAUUAACUGAAUUCAUAAAAUGAGUGAUUUUUGUAGGAAGAUUUUAAUUAGAAAGAUUGUGGAAGCACUCCCAUUGUGGCUCAGUGGCUUAUGAACCCUACUAGUAUCCAUGAGGAUGUGGCCUCGCUCAUCGUGGGUUAAGGGUCCAGUGUUGCCAAGGCUCUGGUAUAGGUCUCAGCAGCAGCUCUGAUUCAACCCCUAGCCUGGGAACUUCUGUAUGCCACAGGAGUGGCUUUAAAAAAAAAAAAAAAAAAGACAAGAGAGAAAGAAAGAGAAGAAUAGAAAAGUUGGGGACUGAACAUCCAGGGUUAGUGUCAUUUAGAAACGAAGUAGGCUUAGAGGAGGGCCUCUUCAGGUCACAUUGUGUAAGUUCAGUUGAGUUCUCUGGAGGAAGAGUGUCAUAAAUACCAAGGGAAUAGAUCAGCACUAUGUGAUAAAUAAGGAAAAGGUUAUAGUAUAUUUCUCAGUACCCACCAAUUGGGAGCUUAGAAUUUGAGAUGAAAACUCUUAAUCUUCUUUUUAGCGCCAUCACAUGUUCCAUUAAGUAUAUCUUUGAAGCCUUACAUUCUCCUUAGACUUCUGGUUACCAGUUCUUUCUCCAGGUGGAAAGUAGCUGUGUUAAGAACACUUCUCUCUCGAUCUCUCUCGCGCUCUAGUAAUAAUUUACGGCAUUCAGGGAGUUAUAGAUGAUCAUGUUUGAAUACCUGAGUGAAUUCUUUUAUAAAGUCAAAGUCCUUACUACAGUAGUAUUUUUUUUUAAAAAAAAAACCAAUCUUUUAUUAUUAUUUUUUUCCUUUUAGGGCCAUGCCUACAGCAUAGGGACAUUACCAGGCUAGGGGUCGAAUCGGAGCUGCAUCUGCAGGCUUACGCCAGAGCCACCGCAAUGCCAGAUCUGACCUGCAUCUGUGAUCUAGAGCCCGGCUUGUGGUCGCGUGGGCUCCUUAACCCACCGAGCAGGGCCAGGGGUAGAACAACCCGCAUCCUCAUGGAUACCAUGCCCGGUUCUGAACCCACUGAGCCACAGGAGGCAUUCGCACAGGAGUAUUUGUAAACACAUAGUUGUAGAGAAAUAUAACUCAGCAUUAUUAGGAACAUACUAUGAACACCAACCUUUGUCUUGUAUUUAAUAUAUUUUGAUUUUUUAUAAAGUUUGCUAGACCAUAAUACAUUUAUAUAUUAUAUAUAUCUUUUAAUGUAUAAAGAAAACCUAUAAAGCAGAGGCUUUUGAUUCUAGUAUAUCCCUAAUAAUAGUAUUGAUACAUGACUGAUCUAGUAUAUCUAAAUGCUGAAAUAUAUUGUAUAGAUUGAGAGAGAGUCAAGACGAGAGAUGUAACAGAGAGAGUGGAGUUAAGUGAGAACAGGGAACUCUCUGUUUGAAAAUAUGGAAGUUAUUUCAAAUUCACAUUAGGAAAAGAAAGCUAAGUCCUGGACAAGGUGCUCCGACGCUUCUGAAUGCCAUGUCGCUGAUGUUGAAGAAGAACUGAAAGAAACUUUCAUCUUCACCUUUUUUUGGUUAUGCAUGUUAGUUUUGAUUUGAUGUUGUUUCUUGACAAAGAAAUCCUCACUUUGAAAUGAAUAAAAUGAUGUCUUAUAUUUAGUCUAGCAAAACCUGUAUUCAUCGAUAAUCACGUUCAGCUCAGUUUUAUGCCAUACUGUGUUUAUUCAGACGGAGACACUUGGGCCCUUCUGUUUCUUAUCGUUUCUAAGUUACUGUUUGGUGCAUACUUAACAGGCCUAACUAAUUCUAUCUGACUGUUUGGUAUCGUCUUCGUAGGUGUUUUUAAUCUUUUGAGAAGAAAGGGAGAGGACAUAAAUAAGCAUUUCACCCAGGCUUUCCACUAAGAGUAUAAUGUCUAAUUAUGUAAAUUAGGUUCUUCAUCUCUAUUCAUUACAUGAGAACAUUUGAACCUGCAACACUCUUAAAGAAAAAAGGUGUAGAAGUUAUUUGUGGGGGAGAGUUCUGAUUUCUCUCUUCCUAAUAGGAUCUGCACAUUAUGGACACAUAUGAACACAUCGAACAAAUGAAGCCACCAUUUAUGAUUUUUUCCUAAAAUCACCUCCUUGUUGCAAACUCACUAGAAGGAAAAAUGACUAGCAAAAAAUACAGAAUCAUCUCUGGAAGAGCAUUUGUUCCUUUUAAAGUAUCUCUAGCAAUAGGUACAUUUCACAUGAUUCUUGAGAAAUUUUACAAAUGUCAGUAUCUCUAGCCAUUAAACUAACAGGUAAGGUUUUUGUAUAUGCAUGUGAAACUAACAUGCAAAUUCUUCCAUAUCAAAAAUUCAGAAAUCCUUGCGACUUGAUUUUUCAGUCCCUUUGUUCGCUCCUCAUGUCAGUACUAGGUCCUCUUUGAUACUCUUAAUUGUAUUUUAAAAUCUUUCAAAUCUCCAACUUGGACAAUCAUAGUUUUAUUAAUUUUUGUACUAGAUCAUUUUAGCAACCAUUAACUACCAUUGUAUAAAACACUAGAUAGGCAACUGGAGUUAUUAGAGUGCUAUUCACAGGAGAAUUAAAAACAGAGUGUGAUUUUAUUUUAUUUUAUUUUACCUUAAUUUAUUUUAUUGUUUUGUCUUUCUAGGGCUGCACCCAUGGCAUAUGAAGGUUCUCAGGCUAGGGGUCGAAUCAGAGCUGAAGCUGCUGUCCUACACAACAGCCACUGCAACGUGGGAUCCCAGCUGCCUCUGGGACCUACAGCACAGCUCAUGGCAAUGCCAGAAUCCUUAACCCACUGAGCAAGGCCAGGGAUCAAACCUGCAUCCUCAUGAAUGGUGGUCACAUCCAUUUUUGCUAAGCCAUGACAGGAACUCCAAAACUAUAGAGUGUGACAUUUUAAACAGGGUUUUUAAUUUUUUUCUUACAUUAUAUGACUACUUAAAAACACUGCAUAAUUCAACAAUCAUAUAAGCACUUGCAAGUGAAAACUUUUUUAGGAUUCAUUUUUUAAAAAGACAUUCUGGUAGCAUCUAGAAUUGGUAUUUUACAGUUAAAUCAUUUUGUUAAACAUGUAUUGCUGUAAUAUCCCAAAAUUAUCUGUAAUAUAUGUGUAUUGCUGUAAUAUCCCAAAAUGCUGUAAUAUCCCAGCAUUGUCUCUGCUGUAGCAUGAGUUUGAUGUCUGGCCCAGGAAUCUUCAUAGGCCUUGGGUGCUGCUGUACAAGAAACUAAAAAAAGAUCACAGUGGCAGUAAGUGGCUUACUAAAUGAUGAAGGUAUUUUCUGUUUGUUUGAGUAUUUUUUUGGCAUGUGGAAGUUCCUGGGCCAGGUACCAAACCUGUGGCACAGCAGCAACCCGAGCUGCCGCAUUAACAAAGCUGAUUUUGAACCUGCUGAACCACAAGGGAACUCUGAGGAUACCUUUUUAAAACCUGAAGGACCAUAAGAUGAUAGCAGUUAAGGAUGUGACAGCUAGAACAGGCGUGUGGAUUUCUGACUUGGGGUGCGUUAAGUUUCAGUAGACUGUGAUCAGUUACCUCCUACAGGUAUAUUAGUGCUCUGGCACUUGAGGCCCUCUCGAGAUUUUAUUUUAUUUUUUUAUUUUUUUUUUUUUUGCCUUUUUGUCUUUUGUUGUUGUUGUUGUUGUUGUUGUUG